rnacentral:rRNA from 1 species
UACAGGGGGGGCAAGCGUUGUUCGGAAUUACUGGGCGUAAAGGGCUCGUAGGCGGCCAACUAAGUCACACGUGAAAUCCCCAGCUUAACCUGGGAACUGCGUGUGAUACUGGAUGGCUUGAAUUCGGGAGAGGGAUGCAGAAUUCCAGGUGUAGCGGUGAAAUGCGUAGAUAUCUGGAGGAAUACCGGUGGCGAAGGCGGCAUCCUGGACCGACAUUGACGCUGAGGAGCGAAAGCUAGGGGAGCAAACGGGG